GUUUUUUAGGUUUGAAUCUAGUAUUUUUUACAUUUAAUGAAUGUAAAAUUUGCCGCAGGACAUGAAACUGGAAUUCUUCAUUUGAUCAGGAUAUUGUUUUAAAUUGAAUGUGGUUUGUGGGUGUAGUACACACGUAUUUCUAGGGGGCGGUAACGCGCCAGAAUGGUGGUUGCACCUGCCUGACCUAGAAAAUGAAAGAAGACGGAGGAUUGAUACGAAAAAGGUCGAAGUGGCGGCAAAAGUGAAGAGACGGAGGACAGUAACCAGCACAACCUCACUGUUUUCAGAGAGCCCGUGGCACGAAAAGCAACUUUUGUAGUUCUCCCAAGGAUUACGUCUGAAGCAGACAGAUCUUAUUGAAGAUGGUGUUACAGGCAGUAGCAGGACCUUAACCAAGAUGGCUUCAUCUCUGAGAAAAGUCUGCAGUCGUGCUGUGUGCAAACUUUGAGUUCAAUGUCAAAUGAAAGUUGGUGGCCAUCAUUGCUUUGUUAUGCUGGACGAAAGCAAGUUCUCACACAAAAGAAAGUACAACCGGGGGAGAAUGGGACCAGCAUGGAGACGGAAUAAAAAAUGGGUAUUUGGUAUGCUGGAAGUUGUGCAGACCACCAGGAGACCCAUUUUCAAGAUCCUCGCAAAGCGUUCCAAAGAGCAGCUUCUUCCCAUCAUACGGCGCCAUAUUAGGAGGGGAUCCAGCAUUGUGACCGAUGAGUGAAGAGCUCUGUCAGAGGAAAGUUAUGAUCACCAUACUGUCUGCCACAGGAGACACUUUGUAGAUUCUGUAACCAGAGCCCAUACACAAAACUUAGAGAGGGCCUGGCAAACAUUUAAAUGUGAGAUUUGGCGUCAUGGAGGCAAUCGAACGACCAAGCUGUUAAAAGAGCAUUUAAGAGUAAUUGAGUGUUAGUACUGGCUUGGGAGAUCGCAUAGAAAUGGCAUUCUCGGGUGCCUUUUUCAUGAUAUUAGAAAAUUUAAUGUUCAUGAGUGUUGAUAUGGAUUUAUGAAAGGUUCUUUGUAUUGUUUUAUACCUCUUUUUAAAUAGUUGCUUGUUUGUUCGAGCACCCUGAAUAAACUUGUAUUUGUAAAUAAAUUUAUUUGCUUGUACUAUUAGGGCAUGGUCAUAUCCCAGCUGGCAAACAUACUUUAGUGUGAUCGUGUUUACAUAUGUAUACUGUUUACCUGUAAGUGUUAAGAUGCACUUUAAAAAGCUGCUUCAAGCAAACGUCCUUUAAUGCCCCUCUGGGGGGAGGGCGUUCUUCGGUUAAAUUUUGUAUUUUAUAUCUCUUAUAAUAGUAGCUAGUUUGUUUGACACCCUGAAUAAACUGUAAAAAUAUA